AACCGGGGGGAAUUUGCCUUAGUACGGCGAGUGAAGCGGCAAAAGCUCAAAUUUGAAAUCUGGUACCUUCGGUGCCCGAGUUGUAAUUUGGAGAGGGCAACUUUGGGGCCGUUCCUUGUCUAUGUUCCUUGGAACAGGACGUCAUAGAGGGUGAGAAUCCCGUGUGGCGAGGAGUGCGGUUCUUUGUAAAGUGCCUUCGAAGAGUCGAGUUGUUUGGGAAUGCAGCUCUAAGUGGGUGGUAAAUUCCAUCUAAAGCUAAAUAUUGGCGAGAGACCGAUAGCGAACAAGUACAGUGAUGGAAAGAUGAAAAGAACUUUGAAAAGAGAGUGAAAAAGUACGUGAAAUUGUUGAAAGGGAAGGGCAUUUGAUCAGACAUGGUGUUUUGUGCCCUCUGCUCCUUGUGGGUAGGGGAAUCUCGCAUUUCACUGGGCCAGCAUCAGUUUUGGUGGCAGGAUAAAUCCAUAGGAAUGUAGCUUGCCUCGGUAAGUAUUAUAGCCUGUGGGAAUACUGCCAGCUGGGACUGAGGACUGCGACGUAAGUCAAGGAUGCUGGCAUAAUGGUUAUAUGCCGCCCGUCUUGAACCCCCGAACCA
rnacentral:rRNA from 1 species